GUGUUUGUAAACUUCUGACUUUAAUCAUAUCUGUAUUCUCAGUCAUGUGAAAUCCAUAGAUUAGGGUCUAAUUCAUUUAGAACAGUUGACUGAUUUCUUUAUAUGAACUGUGACUCAGUCAAAUCGUACAAAUUGAGGUUUUGUUGAGUGAAAAGAAAUCACAGACCUGAGAGAGAUUCAGCUGAGUACAUGUUCAGAUUUACAACACAGUAUGCAGAAUGGGGGUACAGCUUCCCUGGAACAACUCUGACUGACACAGGUAAUAUAUAAUAUAUAUAGGUAAUAUAUAAUAUCUACAGGUAAUAUAUAAUAUCUACUGGGAAUAUCUACAGGUAAUAUAUAAUAUCUAAUUCUAAUAAUUAAUUAGAAUCAUUCAGAGCUGCAGGUGAAGGUGUCUUCCUCCACAGAGGAAUAGAAGAGAACACUGACCUGUAGCACCACCUGUCUUCUGACUGACAACCUCACCUACAUCUGGUACAAGAACGGACAACAUCUCCAUGACCCUACUUCCCAACAAUACUCCUGUAAUACUCUAGUGGUCGGGUGUUACUCUACAGACAGUUACUCCUGUGCUGUAAAAGACCAUGAGGAUUUUCUCGCUCCUACAUUGUGGGUCAACAGUGGACAUUACCUGCACGUAUAGACAUCCCAGCUGGCAUAACGUCACAGAAGUAUCCUGGUUCAACAAAUGGGAGUCUGGAGUUACUGCAGAUCUAAGCCAGGACCCAGAAUAUGCAGGUAGUGUGAAGUACCAUCCAACUACACACAAGGACUCCACCCUGAGAAUCACAGACCUGAGAGAGAGUGACUCUGCUGAAUAUAAGUUUAGAUUUACAACAACGGAGGUAAAAUGGGGAAACGGCUUCCCUGGAAUAACUCUGUCACAGGUAAUACUGUCCUUACAGUAUUAUAUCAUCUAGUCAUUAUAUUAUUGGUGGAAAUAAUGAUGAUUGUGCUAUUUUGUCUUCAUUUCCCCCUUUUCAGACCUGCAGGUGAAGGAGACUCCUGGCACAGAGGAAGGGAAGGUGACACUGACCUGUAGCACCACCUGUACUCUAACUGACAACCCCACCUACAUCUGGUACAAGAACGGACAACUUCUCACCAACCCAAACACCCAAGAUAACUUCCUGAUCCUAGACCCAGUCAGCAGUGAGGAUACAGGCAGCUACUCCUGUGCUGUUGAAGACUACGAGAAUUGCCUGUUACGUUAGUCUUUGAAGAAUGAUGUUGUAGGAAUCAUAGUUGUUGUUCUGAUUCGAAUACUCUGUGUCUUUGGGUUCAGGUUAGUGAGAUGAAUUUAUCCUUUUUCAAAUUAUAUUUUAUAAUGAUCAAAAUCAUUUAUAUUGCUUGAUUGAUUGUUGAUUGAUUUAUUAAUUGAUACAUUCAUUCACAAAACAGGAAGAAGGCCUCCAAUUCCACCUCUGACACAAGAGACAGAAGAGACACAGCAGAGAACGGACAGGUGAGUCUUCUGGAAUCAGUUGACUAAGAGCUACAGUGAUCUGUAUUUAGAUGGACUCAAUGACUGUGGUAAUAUCUUUCACCCCUCAUGUUGUCUGUCUUCUCUCCCCAUCAGAGAGACUCUAAUCCAGUGUAUGACAACAUCUCAGGCAUGGCCAUGGCCCCUAUUGCAGCACAGAGAGCGAUCACAGACGAGCAGGAUGACGUUACCUACCCCAGCAUCUAACACAGAAACCAGGAAGUGCCUCUGGACUCCACCGUCCCACCGUCUCACCCCCAAAAACAGGACGAGGAUUUCCAGUACACUACUUUGAAAUUCAACAGCCCCAGUGCUGCUCAAUAGACAUUGGGAGGGAUUCAAUCCAAUCAUAGAGGGGGGAUCUUUUUUUUUUACAGCAACUUCCUUGUUGUUGUAAUAUCUCAAACGGGGAGUUUCAGCAUUAAGGAUUCCAGCUUUAAAUAACACAAUAUAACCAACUUUAUUCAUGGGGUCUUAUAGUAAAUGUACUAUAAAUCACAGUGAUUUAAACAUCCCAUCCAUACACCACACUAAACCUACACAUAGUCUGUGUCUGGAAAGGCAUCCUAUUCCCUACAUACUGUCAGGUGACAUUUCAGACACAGAUUUCCUCUUUAACUGUUAAG
rnacentral:lncRNA from 1 species